CGCUUCUAAAGCUCGGCAUUUCAGUAUCGAGCAGUCCAUCAUUAUAGGCAGCCUUGCUGGCACGCUUGGCCGCUCCGCAACUACAUACUGAAGGUGGACAGAAAUGACGUCAUCAUUGAGGACCAGAAAGUGACGUUAUUAGGGCAGGCUGUAAGGGACGUCGCCUCAGGAGAACCAGAAGUGAUGUCAUCGCUGGAGUACAGAGCUGGGAUUAUUGAGUGGAAGCCAUUUUGAGUGACCGGAAAUAUGGAUGUAUGAACUCUUGCAUGGUUCUGAAGACUUCUUUUGUCAGAGAAUCCUUUGCCACACUCCGAACAGGAAUGAGGCUUCUCUCCGUUGUGACUUCGUGUAUGGCAACGAAGAAUGCUGCUGGUGGAGAAUCGUUUACUACAUUUAGAACAGCAGUAUGGCUUCUCUCCAGUGUGAAUUCGUGUGUGUGUCUGAAGUUGGCUUCUGGUAAAAAAUCCUUUGCCACAUGCAACACAUAAAAAAGACUUCUUUCCGCUGUGAA